AUAUGACAUUUGGAUUGUCUUUAUUGUUUUGAAACUUCUGUAUGUGUAAUGUUUACUGUUAAUUUUUAUUGUUUAUUUCACUUUAUAUAUUCACUUUAUAUAUUAUCUACCUCACUUGCUUUGGCAAUGUUAACACAUGUUUCCCAUGCCAAUAAGGCCCUUGAAUUGAACUGAAUUGACAGGGAGAGAGAAGUGAAACAGCAGAGAAAGAGAGAGGUGCCCCGUCCCAUGGUCAUCAACAGAGUUGUGGACUCGAGACAGAAAUUUGAUGACUUCAGACUCAACUCGAUAUAAAAUAACUUGAGACUUGACUUGGACUUGGUGCCUUAAGACUUUGUCUUGAGACUGAUAACUUAAAAUGAUCUGUUCAGGUUUUGUAACUCGGGUUGAGUACUCUCCAUGCAGCCAUAGACAUCAUGUGUUAAGACUCAUGACUAGUUAACACAGCCACAAUGUUAGAGUGAUGGCUGAACUCUGCCCAUAUCUACAAUCUCUCUUUUUUACAUGUAUUUUUGGGGCUUUUUUUUACAUUGUGUCUGUGGAAUCUGACUUAAUGGUUGCUAUCUAGUGGAAACCCUGUCCCAUAGAAGUUAGUGGAGGGGGAGGAGUUUCAGUACUUCCUCAGUUGUCGGAGUUAUGCUGCCCCUGACAUACAGACAUUAUCUUCUCACAAACACACUCUGUUCUCACACACUGUCAGACACUCUCACGGUUGUAUUCAUUACUGUCUGUUGCUCUUUCAAAACACAGGAACAGGGACAGGAGCAGAAUGACUGGGCUUUAGCCUGGUGGAGGGGAGUAACUGGGGGUAAACUGAGGACACACUGGGACUACUGUACCACUUCCACCCUCAUGACAAAUGAAGUGACAGGAGAGAACAGACAGCAGGACAGAGACAUCUCCCCUGCUGAGCUGGAUGCACUAUGGAGAGAACCACCGUACACGCUAGCGGGAACCAAUGAACUUCCCAGGAAAUGAUGUUGUGAAUCCAGGUACUACAGUAAAAGCCUUAAAGCGUUCGAUGACACAAAACAUCCAGCUGAUUCUAUCCCUAUUAAGUCCUGCAUGAGUUAUAUUUGCCCAGACACAUGUUGAGUUUGAAUUCUUCUGGAUGUGUACUGUAGCAACAAUGAAACAUUGUAUACACAAUAGCCUCAACCGUCCCAGGUUGAGGAAGAGUUGGGGACAUCCUCUCUGUACAAUGUGACAAACCACAUGGGAAGCCAGCCCAGCGCUCAUGAAGCUUU
rnacentral:lncRNA from 1 species